UGAUAAUUCCAGGAAGGAUAGCUAUCACCC
rnacentral:piRNA from 1 species